AUGCAAUGAUGUUGAUCAAAUACCUGACCUGAAGUGAGCAUGUAGAAAAAUUUGCACUGAAGAA
ensembl:snoRNA